UUGCGCGGCGCGCUGCGAACAUGGAGAGGGGGCGGGAGGGAGGGGAGUUCAAGGCGAGAUCCACCUCCGACAUGAAAUAAUAGGGACGACAAUAAAACAGGGGGGAAAACCCGUUGGAGAGAAGCUGAAUGGAUGGAGCCGGAGAGACGUCACUGGCAGCCGCAGCCAUGAAGACCGUGCGGUCCAGCCUCCGGAGAAUCACUUCGCCUCCAUCCUCCGAGACGCUCGCCGCUCGAUCUGGGAGAGGAGCGCAUCCCGCGACGAUCCGCGAUCAGCGACGUCAGAAAUUGGCCGAUGUUUCUUGGCCUGGGGUUUAAGAGGAUGGGUAGCCUUAGGGGUUGAUUGUUAUCUUUGGUUAUCUAGCUGUAUGAGUGAUGUACAUUCUUCAUAAAGCUAGAUAACCGAAAGUAACAAGAAUCCCAUUACACUCCUGGAAAGGCAUCAAGACCCAAAGUGACUCCGCUCUGCGAAAACAAAAAAAGAUAAACAAGAAGAAACCUAACUUGAUAAAAAAAAGGACAUUUUUUUUUCUUAAAGGAGACGGAAUCGUUCAUCAAAUAAAGGGUACCUUUCCACGUAGAGAAAAGAUGGCAAGGGAAGACUGAAAACAGAAGAGGAGGAGGGGUUGCUGUUGAUUGUGCCCUCCCUCUCUCAUCGCCCUCUUCUGCAUCGCCUCUUCCCACCUCCUCCUCUUCUCUUUCUCCUCCACUCCAUCCUCAGCAGACUGCCCCUUUUUCCUGUACAGCGAAAUGCAGCCCACGCCACCAUCUUAGAGCAACGCUGGCAUAAAAUGGAAGUGGGAAGACCAGUCACUGCAGAUAAACAUUGGUGGUUGGGGGCUCCAAAAUGAACAAAACACACAAUGGAGAGACGGCUCGCUGCCGCACAGCUGCUGUAAACAAGGAUGCUGCGUUCUCCAAACAACUUCACCGUUUGCGCGUCUGUGGCACAUCGAGACCCACCUGGACUUUUUAGCUGCAAGAAUAUUAUUGUGAACUGUUGCUUUUUGCAAAACAGAAAGAAUAUAUAGAAAUACAAAUAUAUGUAUAUAUAAAUAUAUAUGUGUGUAUAAUUUAGUAAAUUUUAUUUUUUUCAUUCUCUGAUUGAGUUUCAUACUAUUAUCUUGUAUAACACUGUAAAUACAACAAUUGAAUAGAGCGGUAUUAUUUUUUUUUAUAACAUUUAGGCUCUCCCUGUUUAGGUUAUUUUUUAUUUGAUUAUAAGCCCUUGUUUAUGUUCAGAUUUCUAUUUUGUUUUAGUUGCUAGGACUCAAAAGACACGUGAAUGUGAGACCCACGACAGCAGUGAAUAAUACUGCACUGCGAUUGGACAGCUCCGUGUGUCGGCUGACACAAUGGCGAAGGAGAGAGCUGUCGUCUUUAUACUCUAUGCAACUGUUCUGUCUGUUUUGAUUCUGUUUAUGGCAGAGCCUCUUUUAUCUAUGUUUUGUAUUUUUCGUUUAUGGGCUAACAAACUACCGACAUCCUUUUAUACACUGUUAAGCCAAUUUUGCUUCCUCCAGAACCCACAUUUGUGUUCGAAAUAUACAAGAAAAAAAUAGAGAAAUAGAGGAAGGCUAUCCGUAUGUGUCUUAAGUGAUUGCUAAUUAUAUUUAUAGCCCCCCCCACCCGUUCCUUAAAUCCGAGUGUGAAUAAAUAUGGACUCAAACAUUCCUGAUGGCAGUAGUGUGUUUGAUCAGCAGGAAUUAAAACAAUGCUGCAGCAUGCGUGCUUCCUCUGAGACACAUUAACUUGCCUCAUAACAGUUACCUGCUCUGCUGUAACAAUACAUCUUUAGGUAAGACACGACAAAUACAUAGACUUCAAACACUGCCUUAAUUUCCUCUUCACACACAAAUGCGCACACACACCCCCACACACACAAACGCACAAAGCCCCCGUGCAAUAAGACAAGUACCAUUAUGGCUUAAUUCAUUUUACAUUAAUUUUAGGGAAGUGGAUUUUUAAUUUUUUUUAUUAUUAUGAUUGAUAAUCUAUGCAAAUCUUUUAAAGUAUUACUUUAAACAAUCUAUGCACUGCUCCUCUGCUCUUGCGUUUGAUUCAAAGGAGACUAUCUUGGCCUAAUUUAGACAAUGUAUUCUUUUGAUAAUCAUGCACAUCCUGGUGCUCGAGACAAUUACUUAUCUGCCUGGAUAAGCUUGAAAUUAUGUUUUUAAUCUUUUGCAAAAAAGUCUUUCUUCCGAUAUCAGUUGAGAGGCAUGAAAACCGUGAUUUCUGGUGUGAAAUAAUUAAAUCAGUGUCAGAAAAUAUCCUCUUUUCCUUUAAAUGUAGAUUAAAUAUUUCUGUUUAGCUUUGUCUGCUUAUAAGUUUUAUAUAAGGAAUGAUAUUUGUAUUAUGCAACCUGUGAUUGAGUGCUCACCACAUGUGCCUUUUUAUACAAAUAUGUAUUAGAAUAGUAAUAAAGGUUUACAUUGAAAACAGGAAAAA